UACGUAGGGUGCGAGCGUUAAUCGGAAUUACUGGGCGUAAAGCGUGCGCAGGCGGUUUUGUAAGCCAGAUGUGAAAUCCCCCGGGCUUAACCUGGGAAUGGCAUUUGGGACUGCAAGGCUGGAGUGCGGCAGAGGAGACUGGAAUUCCUGGUGUAGCAGUGAAAUGCGUAGAUAUCAGGAGGAACACCGAUGGCGAAGGCAGGUCUCUGGGCUGACACUGACGCUCAUGCACGAAAGCGUGGGGAGCAA
rnacentral:rRNA from 1 species